rnacentral:rRNA from 1 species
AUUGAACGCUGGCGGCAUGCUUUACACAUGCAAGUCGAACGGUAACAGGCCGCAAGGUGCUGACGAGUGGCGAACGGGUGAGUAAUGCAUCGGAACGUGCCCAGUCGUGGGGGAUAACGCAGCGAAAGCUGCGCUAAUACCGCAUACGAUCUAUGGAUGAAAGCGGGGGACCGUAAGGCCUCGCGCGAUUGGAGCGGCCGAUGUCAGAUUAGGUAGUUGGUGGGGGAAAGGCUCACCAAGCCAACGAUCUGUAGCUGGUCUGAGAGGACGACCAGCCACACUGGGACUGAGACACGGCCCAGACUCCUACGGGAGGCAGCAGUGGGGAAUUUUGGACAAUGGGCGCAAGCCUGAUCCAGCAAUGCCGCGUGCAGGAAGAAGGCCUUCGGGUUGUAAACUGCUUUUGUACGGAACGAAAAGGCUCUGGAUAAUACCUGGGGCUCAUGACGGUACCGUAAGAAUAAGCACCGGCUAACUACGUGCCAGCAGCCGCCGUAAUAC